rnacentral:rRNA from 2 species
CGAUACCCCAGGUCAGGCGGGGCCACCCGCCGAGUUUAAGCAUAUAAAUAA